UCCAUGGCUCAGAUUGAACGCUGGCGGCAGGCCUAACACAUGCAAGUCGAGCGGAUGACAGGAGCUUGCUCCUGAAUUCAGCGGCGGACGGGUGAGUAAUGCCUAGGAAUCUGCCUGGUAGUGGGGGACAACGUUUCGAAAGGAACGCUAAUACCGCAUACGUCCUACGGGAGAAAGCAGGGGACCUUCGGGCCUUGCGCUAUCAGAUGAGCCUAGGUCGGAUUAGCUAGUUGGUGAGGUAAUGGCUCACCAAGGCGACGAUCCGUAACUGGUCUGAGAGGAUGAUCAGUCACACUGGAACUGAGACACGGUCCAGACUCCUACGGGAGGCAGCAGUGGGGAAUAUUGGACAAUGGGCGAAAGCCUGAUCCAGCCAUGCCGCGUGUGUGAAGAAGGUCUUCGGAUUGUAAAGCACUUUAAGUUGGGAGGAAGGGCAUUAACCUAAUACGUUAGUGUUUUGACGUUACCGACAGAAUAAGCACCGGCUAACU
rnacentral:rRNA from 1 species